rnacentral:rRNA from 1 species
UGGGGAAUCUUGCGCAAUGGGCGAAAGCCUGACGCAGCCAUGCCGCGUGAAUGAUGAAGGUCUUAGGAUUGUAAAAUUCUUUCACCGGGGACAAUAAUGACGGUACCCGGAGAAGAAGCCCCGGCUAACUUCGUGCCAGCAGCCGCGGUAAUACGAAGGGGGCUAGCGUUGCUCGGAAUUACUGGGCGUAAAGGGGGCGUAGGCGGAUAGUUCAGUCAGAGGUGAGAGCCCAGGGCUCAACCUUGGAAUUGCCUUUGAUACUGGCUGUCUUGAGUAUGGGAGAGGUUAGCGGAACUCCGAGUGUAGAGGUGAAAUUCGUAGAUAUUCGGAAGAACACCAGUGGCGAAGGCGGCUAACUGGCCCAUUACUGACGCUGAGGCUCGAAAGCGUGGGGAGCAAAC